rnacentral:rRNA from 1 species
GAUGAACGCUAGCUACAGGCUUAACACAUGCAAGUCGAGGGGAAACGAUAUUGGAAGCUUGCUUCCGAUAGGCGCCGACCGGCGCACGGGUGAGUAACGCGUAUCCAACCUGCCCACCACUUGGGGAUAACCUUGCGAAAGUAAGACUAAUACCCAAUGACGUCCAUAGAAGACAUCUGAAAUGGAUUAAAGAUUUAUCGGUGAUGGAUGGGGAUGCGUCUGAUUAGCUUGUUGGCGGGGUAACGGCUCACCAAGGCGACGAUCAGUAGGGGUUCUGAGAGGAAGGUCCCCCACAUUGGAACUGAGACACGGUCCAAACUCCUACGGGAGGCAGCAGUGAGGAAUAUUGGUCAAUGGGCGAGAGCCUGAACCAGCCAAGUAGCGUGCAGGAUGACGGCCCUAUGGGUUGUAAACUGCUUCUAUAAGGGAAUAAAGUGAGUCUCGUGAGACUUUUUGCAUGUACCUUAUGAAUAAGGACCGGCUAAUUCCGUGCCAGCAGCCGCAGUAA